rnacentral:rRNA from 1 species
AGAGUUUGAUCAUGGCUCAGGAUGAACGCUAGCGGCAGGCUUAAUACAUGCAAGUCGAGGGGCAGCAUAGGUAGCAAUACUUGAUGGCGACCGGCAAACGGGUGCGGAACACGUACAGAACCUUCCUUCGAGCGGGGAAUAGCCCGGAGAAAUCCGGAUUAAUACCCCAUAGUAAAUUAGAAAGGCAUCUUUUUAAUUUUAAAGAUUUAUCACUUGAAGAUGGCUGUGCGCCUGAUUAGGUAGUUGGCGGGGUAACGGCCCACCAAGCCUUCGAUCAGUAACUGGUGUGAGAGCACGACCAGUCACACGGGCACUGAGACACGGGCCCGACUCCUACGGGAGGCAGCAGUAAGGAAUAUUGGUCAAUGGACGCAAGUCUGAACCAGCCAUGCCGCGUGGAGGAUGAAGGUCCUCUGGAUUGUAAACUUCUUUUAUUUGGGAAGAAAUGCGAAAAUUCUUUUUCGCUUGACGGUACCAGAUGAAUAAGCACCGGCUAACUCCGUGCCAGCAGCCGCGGUAAUACGGAGGGUGCAAGCGUUAUCCGGAUUUACUGGGUUUAAAGGGUGCGCAGGCGGAUAUGUAAGUCAGUGGUGAAAUCUUUGGGCUUAACCCGAAAAUUGCCAUUGAUACUAUAUAUCUUGAAUGCUGUGGAGGUAAGCGGAAUAUGUCAUGUAGCGGUGAAAUGCUUAGAUAUGACAUAGAACACCUAUUGCGAAGGCAGCUUACUACGCAGAGAUUGACGCUCAUGCACGAAAGCGUGGGGAUCAAACAGGAUUAGAUACCCUAGUAGUCC